GGGGUGUGGGUGGGUUGUGGGGUAGAGGGCUGUUGUUGAGUCAUCUGAAACUUUCAAGUCAGUGAUAGUUAAAUAUUUGUUCAAUAAAUUAACAGGAGAUAAAGAAUAAAUGAGUAGUUUAAUAAAGUUAGAGUGUAUCAACUCCAUGAUAUAUUUAAAUACCAAGUUUAAUGCCCUUCUGUUCCUCUCACCUAACAUUCCAAUACUGGCCAAAAUUAUUCAGAUUCAUUUAAUGAUUAAUUCUGAGAAUGCUUUACAGAGUAGUUACUGAGCAAUCUGCUGGCAUAACUACAGUGACCUAGUCUUUGUUUUUAUUUCAGCAGCAUUCAGAAGGCAUAGUAAAUGCAGCAAAUAAUAAACAGUAAAAGCUUCCUCUAUGGAAACCACUUUGCUCUUGACUAACCUUGUACAUGAUUGUGAUAAACGAGGUCCAGGGCAUACCUGUUCACUACCCCCAACAUCUAUAAUCCACAAUGACGCACAAGACUAAUUGCGACGUGCAUUAUGUGAGGGUGGCGAGUGACAGAAACUACAAAUAUGUAACAUCUACCAGUUAUCUUUGCCCUCAAGCAAGAUUGUACUGUGAGAUCCUCCUUAGCCCAAGAGCUGAAGAAAACGACAGCUAUGAAACAAAGAAAACCAUGGAAUCCUUUCAAAGAAAUAGAUCAAACCCACAACAUGCAAAAAAAUGAAGAAAUCACUCAAAUGGCAAAAAAUGAGUGAAAAAACACAGAAUAUUAAACAUCAAACUACAAAGUCAUCAAAAUAGUCCAGGAAUGUUCAGUUCUGCUCAGUACAUUUCAAUCUAGUGCUCUGUCGUUUGUUAUCUUUACCGAAAAUUACCUCCUCGAUCAAAAUUGCACAAAAUUAGCAACAAAAAAGAAGCAACCAAAACACAUCAUAACAUGAACUACAGAGUCUAAUACAGAAACCGCACUGAUAAAACCUUGCUCAAGACCCAAAAACUCCAGCAGCAUCGAAUGAGAAGGAUAAAGAGACCAAUCAAACAUGGGCAUCUUCCUCAAGGAGCAACAAGUGAGAGCUAUAGAGAGACUGGUUAUCUGCUAUGACUGAACAGUUUUAAAAUAUAAAGCCGAGUUGAAAAUGCUUUUUACUUCAUUUUAUUAAAAUGCUCAGUGAAAAAGUUCAAGUUGAAGUGCUAGUUCAAAAUAAUAACUGGGUCACUAACGACUGCAUUUAUUGAAUGAGUAGGUGGUUAUUGUGUAAUCCUUUUGUGAGAGUUACAUAAAUAAAAAUUCAUCACUCAUUGACCAAAUAAGACAUACAUCAACUACAUGUAUAUGAGUGAAAAUGGAAUAGAUGAUAUCUGAUGAUAGUUCAAGCUGAAAGUAGGCUUGUGUAGACUCGAUAGGGCGACUAGCCUGUUUCUUUCACUGUAAAUAGUAUGUAAUACUAUCUAAGACUAUUUGCCUUGCAUUAGAUAGCAGAGCUUUGAUUAUAUCACAAAAAUCUUAACAUUGCUCAACUUAGGCAAGAUGAUUUGAUAUGAAUCAGAGAAAAGGUUUAUAACCUCUGUCAGGUUCCACUCACCAGGUUUGCUUCAAGAGCACACAUGUGGGACCUCUCCAAAUGUUUCCGUGAUAUAAAAAUAAUAUGUAAUGGAGUUUACUAUGAUUCAAGCCUGGGGCCCAAAUGGUUUCAAGAUUAAUUAAAUAUUGAAGUUCCCAAGUUUGGUAAAAGCCCACAAGCCUAAAGGGAAGGAUUUACAACUUCAAAAGUAUGUGGUUUCAAAUAGAGACCUCAUAGGAAUUGCACGACUUUCAAUUUGAUUGUAGUCAAUACAUUCUACUGCCAGCCUGCAUGUGAGCUCUAAAGAACAGGCUGAAGUAAUUGCAACCAUGGUCAGACAGAAGUGCCAAAUAGAUGAUCCACCUUGGCUUCCCCCUGAGGUUCCCACCAUAACAGAGGCCAGUCUCCAGUCAAUUCAACUCACCUUGCAUGUUUUCAAGAUACGCCUGAGAACACUGGGUGCAGCAAAAGAUAUGUACUGAAGAUCUACACUACUGAACUUACUGUACCUCUGGCCAAUAUGUACCAAUCCAAAUACAACACGCUGUCUACCCAGCAAAGUGUGAAACUGGCCGUUUACUGUAUGCCCAGUGCACAAAAAGUAGGAUAAAGUGAAUCUUGCUAAUUAUCAUCCAGUCAGUUCUGGACCUCAUAAGGACCUUGGUCCAAGCAUAGACCUAUGUGCUGAAUUCAAGGGCUGAUGUAGGAGUGACUGUCCUUGACACUAAUACAAUAUUUGAAUGUGAUAUUCAUGGUAAAACUGGUAUCAAUGGACAUGAAGGGUAAAAGGCUCCAUUGGUUGAAGUUAUACCUUGCA